AACGUACGCUGGCGGCACGCCUAACACAUGCAAGUCGAACGAAGUAGCAAUACUUAGUGGCAGACGGGUGAGUAACAUGUGGGUAUCUGCCCUAUGGCCUGGAAUAACACGAGGAAACUUGUGCUAAUACCGGAUAAGUCUUUACGGAGAAAGCUUUAUGCACCAUUGGAUGAGCCCGCACUUGAUUAGUUUGUUGGUAGGGUAAUGGCCUACCAAGACUGUGAUCAAUAGCUGAUUUGAGAGGAUGAUCAGCCACAUUGGGACUGAGACACGGCCCAAACUCCUACGGGAGGCAGCAGUGGGGAAUCUUGCACAAUGGAGGAAACUCUGAUGCAGCGAUGCCGCGUGAGUGAAGAAGGCCUUUGGGUUGUAAAGCUCUUUCGUCGGGGAAGAAAAUGACUGUACCCGAAUAAGAAGGUCCGGCUAACUUCGUGCCAGCAGCCGCGGUAAUACGAAGGGACCUAGCGUAGUUCGGAAUUACUGGGCUUAAAGAGUUCGUAGGUGGUUGAAAAAGUUGGUGGUGAAAUCCCAGAGCUUAACUCUGGAACUGCCAUCAAAACUUUUCAGCUAGAGUUUGAUAGAGGAAAGCAGAAUUUCUAGUGUAGAGGUGAAAUUCGUAGAUAUUAGAAAGAAUACCAAUUGCGAAGGCAGCUUUCUGGAUCAUUACUGACACUGAGGAACGAAAGCAUGGGUAGCGAAGAGGAUUAGAUACCCUCGUAGUCCAUGC
rnacentral:rRNA from 1 species